UUAUAGGAUAUGAGAAUAGAGUAUUAGACUACUUACUUCUAUGUAUUUUUAUCUCACAGAGAGAGAGAGAGAGUUAUAAAUUAAGUUUGGACAAUAUUUAUAACACAUUAAAUUUCAUACCCUCACUCGGCCCCUAUGUCAGAGUGACUUGUUCCACCCAAUACAUGAAGUGGCCUCGGAAAAACUACAGAAAUCCCAUGGCAUGCAGGGAAUGACAGCAGAACCCUCUUCAUUCACUAGCAGCAAAUUACAACACAUUGGCCCUGUGGGUUAUAGAGUAACCAUUAUUACAAAUGCAUGGAUUUAUGAAAUACAUAAUGUUAACUACAUUAAAAUUUUAAAAAUAGGCACCUAGUUUAAAAGACUGUAGCAAGCAAAUUGAGUAGAUAUCAAUAAUUCAAGCACAAAUGAACUAUGGCAAGUGGUAAAACCAAUUCUUCCACUCUUGAUACAGGUUCGUCUUCAGCCACAAAUCCAGCUUCCACAGUGACCAAGUUAUGCUUUUCUUUUGCACAAUGGGAACCUUUAAAUCCACAAGUGACUUAUAAUCAACCAUCUCCUUGAACACUACCCAGCUCCUCAUUGUGCUGUGUGGAACACAGAUGCCAACCAAGGCCAAGCAACAAGAAAUAAGGAGCUUGGCACCCUCAUGCCAUGAUGCUCUCACUACCCCAACCCUGGAUUCCCUGACUGGACUUUGACAGAACAAUAAAUUCUAUCUUGCUUAUGCCACUAUAA